rnacentral:rRNA from 1 species
UCUCUGGCUUGUAACUGGCGCUGAGGCUCGAAGGCGUGGGGAGCAAACAGGAUUAAAUACCCUGGUAGUCCACGCUGUAAACGAUGAAUGCUAUGUGUUACACCCUUUCCGGGGUUUAAUGACGUAGCUAACGCAUUAAUCACUCCGCCUGGGGAGUACGACCGCAAGGUUGAAACUCAAAUGAAUUGACGGAUUCUCUAGGGAAGUCCCACCCACCCUCGCGACAAUUCAUAGACGACCUGAGAGGGUGAUCGCACACACUGGGACUGAGACACGGCCCAGACUCCUACGGGAGGCAGCAGUAGGGAAUCUUCGGCAAUGGACGGAAGUCUGACCGAGCAACGCCGCGUGAGUGAAGAAGGUUUUCGGAUCGUAAAGCUCUGUUGUAAGAGAAGAACGAGUGUGAGAGUGGAAAGUUCACACUGUGACGGUAUCAUACCAGAAAGGGACGGCUAACUACGUGCCAGCAGCCGCGGUAAUACGUAGGUCCCGAGCGUUGUCCGGAUUUAUUGGGCGUAAAGCGAGCGCA